GACGAACGCUGGCGGCGUGCUUAACACAUGCAAGUCGAACGGAAAGGCCCUGCUCUUGUGGGGUGCUCGAGUGGCGAACGGGUGAGUAACACGCGAGUAACCUGCCCUUGACUUUGGGAUAACUUCAGGAAACUGGGGCUAAUACCGGAUAGGAGCUCCUGCUGCAUGGUGGGGGUUGGAAAGUUUCGGCGGUUGGGGAUGGACUAGCGGCUUAUCAGCUUGUUGGUGGGGUUGUGGCUUACCAAGGCUUUGACGGGUAGCCGGCCUGAGAGGGUGACCGGCCACAAUGGGACUGAGAUACGGCCCAGUCUCCUACGGGAGGCAGCAGUGGGGAAUAUUGCACAAUGGGCGGAAGCCUGAUGCAGCAACGCCGCGUGCGGGAUGACGGCCUUCGGGUUGUGAACCGCUUUCGCCUGUGACGAAGCGUGAGUGACGGUAAUGGGUAAAGAAGCACCGGCUAACUACGUG
rnacentral:rRNA from 1 species